GCCCAUCUAGGUUUAUCAGGUAUAACGAAUGUUCCACCCCGGGGUGGGGAGGGGGGCAGGCUGUGCAUGUGUGGAACCAGGAACGGAUGGGAAAUCUCUGUACGUUCUGCUCAUUUUUGCCAUGGACCCAAAAACGCUCUAACACAUGAAGUCUGUUCAAAACAAAAAAAUCUAAAAGAAAUGACACAUUAAAAAUGUUUCAGCUAAUGAAGAACAUGAACGAAAGAAAUUAAGUAUCAGACGUGAUAUAGCACCCAUGUGUCUACACAGUAACUUUUGGUAAUUUAAAAGGCAGAGUUAGUGAAGGUGAAAUGGAGACACCCAUCAGUUGAUUCUGAUUUUUGUGAACAGGUCUGGUAAAAAGUGGGAUUAAAAAAGAUGUUGAAUACAAGUAAUAAAAUGAAGUUUGAGUUUACUGUAUUUGUGCAUUUAUCACUAUGUCAAGGAGAGCCCAAGUGCAUAACUGAGAUUUAUCCAAAGACCAGCAGAAACUUAUCAAUAACUAAUUAAGACCUAAAAGAAAUGUGCACUGUUUCAGGAUAUCUGCUCAAUGUUUUAGGAUCCCUCCCUUAAGAGGCUUACGAUUGUAACCAGGAAAACAAGUGCACUGCUCACAAUAGUAAAAAGGAAGGAGAGGGCUCUAAAAAUUGCUGGGCAAUUUCAAAGAAGAGAAGAUGACUGUGAAAGUAGAUGACGAGACUGUCGAAGGAACAGCUCCUGGAAUCUAGACUCUUCUCCAUUACUUCUUAGCUCUUGUCUCUGGUUGUGAUUUGGCUCAGCAGAAGAUGGACGAAGACCCUAUCAAUCGAAUGAAAUAAUUUUAUUUUAUUUUUAUUAAAAAAAAUUUUUUAACGUUUAUUUAUUUUUGAGACAGAG